GGUAAAGCCACUCCGUUAACUCCUAAAAUAAAACAGAACUGAACAUUCUCUUCUUCAUUCUUAUUAAUUACAUCCUUUACUAAACUAUUUUGGUUGGUGAUAAUCUUCUUCAAAUAAGAUUAUUUUAUAUUCAAAUUUACCAGAUCUGUAAUCUGAGAAAUACAGCUGUAUCCAUACCUUCUUACAUCUUGUUGGCUGUUCUCCCUCUUUGCUGAUACCACAUUCCUGCUUUAGCCUAUCUGUUGUCUGUUU